rnacentral:pre_miRNA from 1 species
GAGACACCCCUAUGGAGCAGGACUUGCUUCGGUGGGGCUUUGGUGGGGCUUUGGUGCUCACUGAGUCUGCCCUUUGAGUGUGUCACU